rnacentral:rRNA from 1 species
UACGAAGGGGGCUAGCGUUGCUCGGAAUCACUGGGCGUAAAGGGUGCGUAGGCGGGUCUUUAAGUCAGGGGUGAAAUCCUGGAGCUCAACUCCAGAACUGCCUUUGAUACUGAAGAUCUUGAGUUCGGGAGAGGUGAGUGGAACUGCGAGUGUAGAGGUGAAAUUCGUAGAUAUUCGCAAGAACACCAGUGGCGAAGGCGGCUCACUGGCCCGGUACUGACGCUGAGGUGCGAAAGCAUGGGGAGCGAACAGG